AGUGAACGCUGGCGGUAGGCCUAACACAUGCAAGUCGAACGGAAGCACGGGAAGCGCUUUCUUUUACGGGUGGCGAGUGGCGGACGGGUGAGACAUGGAUAGGAAUCUACUUUUUCGUGGGGAAUAUCGGGGGGCAACUUACGCUAAUGGCGAAUACGAUCAACGGCAGAAAUCAAAAGAUCAUGGGAGUUUUGGCGAUUCAAUGAGCCGGUGUCGGAUUAGCUAGUUGGCGGGGUAAAGGCACACCAAGGCAACGAUACGUAGCAGGGCUGAGAGGAUGAUCAGCCACACUGGAACUGAGACACGGUCCAGACUCCUACGGGAGGCAGCAGUAGGGAAUAUUCCGCAAUGGGCGAAAGCCUGAUCCAGCCACACCGCGUGGGUGAAGAAGGUCUUCGGGUUGUAAAACUCUUUUGUUAGGGAAGAAAAGAAGCAUAUGAAUCUCUGCAUGUUCUGACGGUACCCAAAGAGAAAGCCCCGGCUAACUUCGUG
rnacentral:rRNA from 1 species